UACGUAGGUGGCGAGCGUUGUCCGGAAUUACUGGGCGUAAAGGGCUCGUAGGCGGCCAACUAAGUCAGACGUGAAAUCCCUCGGCUUAACCGGGGAACUGCGUCUGAUACUGGAUGGCUUGAGUUCGGGAGAGGGAUGCGGAAUUCCAGGUGUAGCGGUGAAAUGCGUAGAUAUCUGGAGGAACACCGGUGGCGAAGGCGGCAUCCUGGACCGACACUGACGCUGAGGAGCGAAAGCCAGGGGAGCAAACGGG
rnacentral:rRNA from 1 species